rnacentral:ribozyme from 1 species
UCAUACCUUUUCUUUCUUUCUUUCUUUUCCUUUUUUCAUUAUAAUCAUAUCAUAUUACACAAACAAAGAAGAAAAACGACCCGUGGUCGUACACAUUCGACAUUAUGUAAUAGGAGGAGGAGGACGACGACAUUGUACUACUGCUAUUUUCUUUUUUCGGCACACGUUACACGUCACACCCACCAACACACAGACACAAGAUCCAUUGGCACCUGUUUCGUCGCACCCACUCAUAUAUAUAUAUAUAUAUAUAUACAGGAACGAGAUUCGUGACCGACAACACAAACACACAGAAAGAAAAGUGCCGUCCUGUUACUGUACCCAUGGAGGAAGAAUCAGUUAAACGAGUGAGAUAACCGAUUAUUACAAAGCAAGGAAGGACGACGAUGCGAUUGCAACGGAAUUCAUUUCUUCCAUUCAAUUAUUAUUUAUAAUCA